CAGCACAAUAUAUUCUCCGUUCUUACGGUUUGGGUUACAGGAUGGCGAGAGGGAUGGCAGGAGACGAUAUCAGGAGCUACGGUUAUAGCAAAGGGAUAACUAGGGAGACAGUCACCACCAUGCUCUGGCAUGGCUUGUCCCCUAGCAUUGUGCCAGCUUGCGCAAGGCUAUGAGUACAGCAUGUUCUGGCUCCUCAAAUAAGAAAUUGUUAGAGACUGGAUGAGGGAAUCGAUCUACUGUUGCUCUCCGAAGUAGUAGCUAGUACAAAUCGAUUACAGGAGCAUCGCUCUCGAAUGGAGAAUGAACAGGGGAAGAACUAGGGUUGGGGAAGAGGAAAGUAGGUAGCCGCCGGUUCGUCCUGAUCCACUGGAUGGUGUGCUCUUCGUGUGUCUCCCCUGAAGUAGUCGUGCUCGCGGGCUCAGUUGUUCCAUUCAGGCCCGUGGGUGCGCGGGCUGGGCCGCUUGACUCGUGUGGGCCGUUGGGCAGCUGUAGAGUUGUUGUGGUCGCUGCCCAGUGGGUCCCUCUCGUCAGGGGCGCUAACAUCCCCCUCUCCUUGAGAUGAGGCUUGUCCCCAAGCCUCUGCAUGCGGGAAGCACGCCAUGAGGCUGGCCUUAUCCUCCCAGGUGGUGCCCAAGGUUGCAGAAUUGGACCAUUGCACCCUGACUUGUUCUUGCAUACCCCCGUUCUUUUUGCGCCAGCGUGUUUGCACUACUGCCAUUGGUACAGCAAGAUCAUCAGAGCAAUGAGGCAAUUGUGGUUCGACCGACAUACCAGGGAGUAGGGCGCGGCGAAGCAGCGAAACGUGGAAAACUGGGUGCACCGUGGCUUCUGGUGGUAGUUGCAGUUUAUACGCUACUUCAUUGAUCUUGUCGAUGAUGAGGAAUGGUCCAAAGAAUUUGUAGGCUAAUUUGUGGUUCGCCCGCGGUGCCACUAAGGAUUGGAUGUAUGGUUGUAGCUUGAGGAACACUUUCUCACCCACUUGGAAUUCUCGAAAAGAUCUUUUCUUGUCUGCUUGGUCUUUCAUGAGUUGUCGCGCCCUGUUCAGAUGUUGCUGCAGCAGGUCUUGAACUGUUGCUCGUUCGUCCAGCCAUGAUUGCAGCGCUGGCACAGAGCAAACACUAUCCGCGGAGAUCCCCAGUUGUGCAGGCUCGUACCCGAACAGUGCCUUGAAUGGAGUCAUGCCUAUAGCAGAAUGGUGUGCGUUGUUGUACCAGAAUUGAGCGAGUGGGAUCCAGAAACUCCAUCUCCUUGGACAAGCUUGAGUGAAACAGCGAAGAAAUGUCUCGACGCACUGAUUGACACGUUCCGUUUGGCCGUCAGUCUGCGGAUGAUUGGCUGUGCUCAGUCUGAGUUCGCCUGCUCCACGGAAUAACUCCUGCCAGAAAUGGCUAGUGAAGACUGGGUCUCUGUCAGAGACGAUUGCUUUGGGUAAACCAUGCGUCCGGUAGAUCUGGUUCAUGUAUAGUUGUGCCACUGAAGCUGACGUGUAUGGAUGAGCCAGAGGGAGGAAAUAAGCAAAUUUGGUUCAUUUGUCGACGAGCACCAACAAACAGUUGAACUUGCUGGACUGGGGAAGGCCAUCCAUGAAAUCCAUGGAAAUCAUAUCCCAUGGUUGUUGUGGAACUGGUAGAGGCAGUAACAGACCCUGGUGAUGCGGCACGGUCUGGCUUAGCUUGCUGACACACCUGGCAACAGCGGACGUACUGCAGGAUUUGAAGUUUCAUCUUAGGCCAGGCAAAGAGACGUCUGAUGCGACGGUAGGUGACGGGAAACCCUGAAUGGCCGCCGAUGGGGCUGUCGUGAAACACUGAUAUGAUUCUCUGCUGUAUAUGAGUGCUCCCCCCCAGCCAAAUCCUGCCUCGGAAGUAGAUUAUCCCUUGCCGAAGGGUGAAUCUGCCUUUUGGGUCUUCCCUGAUGGCAAGUUGGGACAGCAGACGCGAAGCUUGAUCGUUGUUGUGGUAGCUGUUGGUGACAUCCUCGAGCCAGGCCGGGUUGCAUGACGUGGUGGAGAAAAGUGUGUCGCUUGGCUUGGCACGAGAUAGCGCGUCUGCACCAGCAUUCUCAAUCCCUUUCUUGUACCGGAUGCGGUAUCGCAGGCCGAGCAGUUUAGUGAACGCCUUCUGCUGCCAAGGGGUUGUCAGACGUUGCUCCAAGUGAAUCAAGCUCUUCUGAUCGGUCAGGAUGUCAAAUUCAGCGUGUUGCGGGUACGGACGCCACUGAUCCAUGGCUACGACUAUAGCCAAGUAUUCCUUCUCAUACGUGGACAACCCCUGAUAGCGUGGGCUGAGUGCUUUACUCAUAAAAGCGAUCGGGUGCCCCUACUGCUGUAAGAUCGCCCCGAUGCCGUGGUCACUCACAUCAGCCUCGAUUGUAAAGGCUUGUUUGAAAUUAGGGAGAGCCAACACGGGAGCAGAAAUCAGCUGCUGUUUGAGGACUUGAAAUGCUGUUUCAGUUGUGGAGGUCCAGAGAAAAGGAGUCCCCUUCUUGAGCAGGUUGCAGGUUGAACAGAGGACGUGCGAUCACACCAAAGUUUCUGACGAACCUUCGAUAGUAGCCUGCAAGCCCCAGGAAGCUGCGAACCUCUUUGACGUUUGUCGGAGCUGUCCAGUUGUUGACUGCUGCAAUUUUGGAGGGGUCGGUAGCGACGCCUUCUGAGUUGAUGACAUGCCCCAGGUAGGAAAUCUGCUGCUGACCGAAGGCACACUUGCUGAGCUUAGCCUUCCAACAGUCUGCGGAGGAGAGUAAGCACCUGCCUCAGAUGAUCGACCGACGUGCUCUUGGAGUGUUGCGCUGAAGACGAGAAUAUCAUCGAAGAACAACAGAACACAGACACGGUUGACAGGCUUGAGAGUGGUGGUGACUGCUCCAAUAAAAGUGGUCGGCGCACCUGCGAGGCCAAACGAGACCACUCUGAAUUCAAAAUGGCCCUGGUGCGUCUGGAAGGCUGUCUUGUAUUCCUCUCCGGGAGCCAAGCGAAUUUGACGAUAGCCUGCGCGAAGGUCAAGUUUGGAGAACCAAGCUGCACCGUGAAGUUCAUCCAGGAGUUCCUCAAUGACAGGUACCGGAAACUUGGCGAUCACUGUGAGAGCGUUGAGCUGACGGUAGUCGAUACAUAGUCGCCAUGUUCCGUCUUUCUUCUUGACUAAAAUGACUGGUGAGGAGAAUGGGCUCGUGCUUCUCUGUAUCACACCUGAUCGCAGCAGCUCUUCGACUUGUUUCUCUAUCUCUGUCUUGUGCUCUGGCUUGUGUCUGUAAGGUCUAAUGUUGACUAGUUGUGCUCUAGGGGUGAGCGGUAUUUUGUGAUCACAAGCACGCCGCGGGGGAAGGCCUUUUGGUUCAGAGAAAACAUCCGCAAAAUCAUCGACCACUUUCUGAAUGCAGUCCGGAACAGGUGCAGUUGACUCCUGGUCUGGUGCAAUCAUACAUAGGUGUAUGAUAUGCGAGACAGCCCCGUUGCUGCAGAGGCUCUGUAAUUGGAUGCUGUUGAUGGUUUCACAGACAACCGAAGCUGCAUCAUGUCCAUUCAGCCGGAUCGGUCCUGCUAGGGUGAUUGUCUCGAUGAAACGGGCGCGCCAAUCAACGGUCAUGGGACUGUGUUCCUCCAGCCAGUCCAUCCCUAGGAUGGCAUCGUAGGUACCGAGAGGAAGCACCUUCAGAUCCGUGAAAAACUCAUGCCCUUGAGCGUACCACGCACAGUGUGGAAUGUAGGUUGAGCAGACCAUUUCGCCACCAUCCGCGACACGAACACGGCCUGGUUUGGCCAUUGCUUGGACCCCGACGAGAGUUGUGGCCAGUUGCUCGUCGAUGAAAGAGUUGGAGCUGCCUGAGUCGAUGAGGAGGAGUACCUCGCGCCCUUGUAUCCAGGCACGCAACUGAAACGCCUUGGCCGAGACGCCCCCAGUCACGGCAGAUAAAGAGAUUGCCAUGACCGUGUCAUUCGGGCCUUCGUCUUGUGGGAUCUUGGUGUCGAUGAAGUUGUCGAGGCCGAUCAUGUCGAGGAGCUCCUCGACGACAUGCAGUUGGACUGAGGUGGGGCACACGUGAUUAUGCCCCCACCUCUCACCGCACUUGAAGCAGAGGCCGCGGGCGCCUCGAUAGUCCCGCAGCGCUUUGAUCUUGGACGAGUCCGCGCGCGCGGCGUCAGUUCCACGCCGAUCGGUGGCGAUCGUAGGGGUCGGAUGGCGCACCGGAGGUGGGGGCAGUGGCAAUGGCACUGCUGCCCUUGGAGACGCAUAUGGUGGUCGUGGUGGGUGUCCCCGCGCUCCAUCCGCCACCUCCUCCUGUAGUUGCGCGAGCGCGCACGCCGUGUCCAGGUCAGGUGGUCGCUGCACCAUGACGACCGCCCUGAUGUCCGUCCAAAGGCCCUCGACAAAACGCGUGAGAAAAUAGUAAGGAUGAAUUGAUUCAGAGUAUGAAUUCAAGUGGUUGAUGAUAGACUCAAAUCUCUCAAUAUAAUCUGCCACGGUAGUGGUUUGGCGAACUCAAUAAAACUGCCGAAUGAGAGUUUGGUGACGAUCUCGGCCGAACCGCGUGCACAGCAGUGCGGUGAACGAGUCCCAAUCGAACUCGCCCAGACGGCGCUGGAUGGACUGCAGCCACAUUGCCGCUGGCCUCAAAAAGUUCAGAGAUGCCAUAGGAACCCAAAACGAAGGCACAAUCCCAAACAUGGAAAAAUACUGCUCACAAAGGGUUUUCCAUAUAUUAGGAUUUCCGCCCGAGAACUGCGGAAAGGAAAUAGAGGGGUGUGCCUGGCCAAGGCCGGUGAGCAUUUGACUGGCAUGCGAAAACGGAGACAGCAGAACUGGGGAGAUGGGAAUCGUGGCUGUACCGUUAGCCGAGAGCGGCGGCGGCGGCGUGAGGGACGCCGCCGAUGGCCCCCGUUUGAUCUGUAAUUCGCCGUGGCCAUCGGGCCCUUGAGGAUGGAUCCCCUCUCAGUGCUCUCAUGCACCAGAUCCGUGCCGGAGCGAGCUGGUGGCGGCGCGUGUGCACGUUGCAGUGCUGUGACCGCGUCGCCCAGAUCCACCACUCGGCGCUCGAGAUCGGGACGCCAUGAUAGAAGGUCGUCGAUCUUCGUCGCCGUGGACUACUGAGCCUUGGUCAGCCCGUCGAUGGCGGCCUCAAUCUUGUUUUCGAAGCGAGUGAGGAAGGCGGAGACGCUCGGAUCCAUGGCUUCACGCGCGUGCCGCAACCCUCUUGUCUCGAUGAGGUUUGCCAGAACGGGGUGGAGGUGUGUGGUGGCUGGAUCUCUGAUACCAGAUGUUAGAAUCGAUCUACUGUUGCUCUCCGGAGUAGUAGCUAGUACAAAUCGAUUACAGGAGCAUCGCUCUCGAAUGGAGAAUGAACAUGGGAAGAACUAGGAUUGGGGAAGAGGAAAGUAGGUAGCCGCCGGUUCGUCCUGAUCCACUGGAUGGUGUGCUCUUCGUGCGUCUCCC
rnacentral:lncRNA from 1 species